GGUCCCGUCGGUUAGUGGCCCAAGCCGCCGCGUUGUCAGCGCGGAGAUCGCCGGUUCGAAUCCGGCCGGGACCGCCA
rnacentral:tRNA from 3 species